UUACACAAAUCUAGGUGAGUAGAGACAGUGUUCUCUAUAAGGUUGAAAGUGAUGCUAUUUAGAAGUCAGAAUGGGAUUGACAAUGGAACAAACAAACUCUGGGAGCCGAUCUAGGUGAGUAGAGACAGUGUUCUCAGUGAUGCACGUGUAGGAAAAUAUGAGUUACACAAACUUUAAUUUGAUGUUUUCUUGAUUUUUGAUAGAUGUAAUGGU
rnacentral:lncRNA from 1 species